rnacentral:rRNA from 1 species
UACGGAGGGUGCGAGCGUUGUCCGGAAUCACUGGGCGUAAAGGGCGCGUAGGCGGCCUGGUAAGUAGGGGGUGAAAUCCUGCGGCUUAACCGCAGGGCUGCCUUCUAAACUGUCAGGCUCGAGCACGGUAGAGGCAGAUGGAAUUCCCGGUGUAGCGGUGGAAUGCGUAGAGAUCGGGAAGAACAUCAGUGGCGAAGGCGGUCUGCUGGGCCGUUGCUGACGCUGAGGCGCGACAGCGUGGGGAGCAAACAGGAUUAGAUACCCCAGUAGUCC